CGUGUUUGGAGAGGCAGAGUGCAUCAGAAAGUUCCAGAAAGUUCUAGAAAGUGUGCUGUCCUGAGGUGGUGCACCGGGGGCCUGAGCAGCAUGAAAGUGAGGAAGAAGUGUAUGCUGUGUCAGGGCAACUGAAACCAUCUUUACUCUCCCAGCAAUACCUGAACAAGUUGUGGCAUACAGAGGCAAAGCAUGAGCUCCUUGCUUACUCACAGAAGCCACCCCACAUCUAUUUAUAUCAGCCAACUACUAUUGUGAUUCCAAAUCUGGCAGUCCAGCAGCUCAACAGUCCAUGCCUUGUACUUCAAAAGUGAGUGAUUGUUGUAUUAACCACAAUACCAAAUGGCUUUGCUUCUAGCCAAAUUACAAAAUAUGAUGAAAAACUAUGGUAUAUGUUUAAAUUUUUAAAAAAUUUAUUACCAUAAAAGAGAUAUUAAACUGGGUGUGGGGGUGCAUGCCUGUAAUCCCAGCGCUUGGGAGGCUGAAGCAAGA
rnacentral:lncRNA from 1 species